GACGAACGCUGGCGGCGUGCCUAAUACAUGCAAGUUGAGCGCUAAAGGUUGGUACUUGUAGCGACUGGAUGAGCAGCGCACGGGUGAGUCACGCGUGGGGCCUCUGCCUUUGAGCGGGGGACCACAUUUGGACACGAAUGCUAAUACCGCAUAAAAACUUUCAACACAAGUUUUAAGUUUGAAAGAUGCAAUUGCAUCACUCACAGAUGAUCCCGCGUUGUAUUAGCUAGUUGGUGAGGUACAGGCUCACCAAGGCGAUGAUACAUAGCCGAACUGAGAGGGCGGGCGGCCGGAUUGGGAGGGAGACACGGCCCAUAGUCACUGGGGAGGGAGCCGGAGGGAAUCUUGAGCAAUGGGCGAGAGUCUGACCGAGCAGCGCGGCGGGAGGGAGGAAGGUUUUCGGGUCGGAAAACUCUGUUGGUGGGGAAGAACGUGGGUGAGAGUGUAACGCAGAGCAAGUGACGGUAACUACUCAGAAAGCGACGGCUAACUACGUG
rnacentral:rRNA from 1 species